GUCGAGAAUUUUUCUCAAUGGGGGAAACCCUGAAGGAGCGACGCCGCGUGGGGGAUGAAUGGCUUCGGCCCGUAAACCCCUGUCAUUUGCGAUCAAACCUCACGACUUAACACGUCGUGAGCUGAUAGUAGCGGAAGAGGAAGGGACGGCUAACUCUGUGCCAGCAGCCGCGGUAAUACAGAGGUCCCAAGCGUUGUUCGGAUUCACUGGGCGUAAAGGGUGCGUAGGCGGUCGGGUAAGUCUGACGUGAAAUCUUCAAGCUCAACUUGGAAACUGCGUCGGAUACUAUUCGGCUAGAGGAAUGGAGGGGAGACUGGAAUACUUGGUGUAGCAGUGAAAUGCGUAGAUAUCAAGUGGAACACCAGUGGCGAAGGCGAGUCUCUGGACAUUUCCUGACGCUGAGGCACGAAAGCCAGGGGAGCAAACGGGAUUAGAAACCCGUGUAGUCC
rnacentral:rRNA from 1 species